rnacentral:rRNA from 1 species
UACCGGAUGAUGACGAAAGUACCAAAGAUUUAUCGCCCAGGGAUGAGCCCGCGUAAGAUUAGCUUGUUGGUGGGUAAUGGCCUACCAAGGCGACGAUCUUUAGCUGGUCUGAGAGGAUGAUCAGCCACACUGGGACUGAGACACGGCCCAGACUCCUACGGGAGGCAGCAGUGGGGAAUAUUGGACAAUGGGCGCAAGCCUGAUCCAGCAAUGCCGCGUGAGUGAUGAAGGCCUUAGGGUUGUAAAGCUCUUUUACCAGGGAUGAUAAUGACAGUACCUGGAGAAUAAGCUCCGGCUAACUCCGUG